rnacentral:rRNA from 1 species
CCAGCCGCCGAAGGUGGGACAGAUGAUUGGGGUGAAGUCGUAACAAGGUAGCCGUAGGUGAACCUGCGGCUGGAUCACCUCCUUU